rnacentral:lncRNA from 1 species
CUACAGGCGGGUCUCCUAUUGGUAAGAUUAAACUUAGGAAGUGCGUCUCCUAUGGUGAAACUAAACUGAGGAAGUGCGUCUCCUAUUGGUAAUGACAUGCCUGCAUUUAUACUUGUGGGCGACCUAGAAUAUGGAAUGAACAGACAAAAUGUAUUCCCGCAUUAUACUGGUGGGCGACCUAGAACAUAAAUGUAUUCCCGCAUUAUACUGGUGGGCGACCUAGAACUUAAAUGUAUUCCCGCAUUUUACUGGUGGGCGACCUAGAACUUAAAUGUAUUCCCGCAUUUUACUGGUGGGCGACCUAGAACUUAAAAGUAUUCCCGCAUUUUACUGGUGGGCGACCUAGAACUUAAAUGUAUUCCCGCAUUAUACUGGUGGGCGACCUAGAACUUAA